rnacentral:rRNA from 1 species
UACGGAGGGUGCGAGCGUUGUCCGGAAUCAUUGGGCGUAAAGGGCGCGUAGGCGGCGCGAGCAGUCGGCGGUGAAAGCCCGGAGCUCAACUCCGGGUCGGCCGUCGAUACUCUCGUGCUUGAGCACUGUAGAGGCAGGUGGAAUUCCGGGUGUAGCGGUGGAAUGCGUAGAGAUCCGGAAGAACACCGGUGGCGAAGGCGGCCUGCUGGGCAGUAGCUGACGCUGAUGCGCGACAGCGUGGGGAGCAAACAGG